rnacentral:rRNA from 1 species
GGGUUGUGAGGUUAAGCGACUAAGCGUACACGGUGGAUGCCCUGGCAGUCAGAGGCGAUGAAGGACGUGCUAAUCUGCGAAAAGCGUCGGUAAGGUGAUAUGAACCGUUAUAACCGGCGAUGUCCGAAUGGGGAAACCCAGUGCAAUUCGUUGCACUAUCGUUAACUGAAUACAUAGGUUAACGAGGCGAACCGGGGGAACUGAAACAUCUAAGUACCCCGAGGAAAAGAAAUCAACCGAGAUUCCCCCAGUAGCGGCGAGCGAACGGGGAGCAGCCCAGAGUCUGAAUCAGCUUGUGUGUUAGUGGAACGGUCUGGAAAGUCCGACGGUACAGGGUGAUAGUCCCGUACACCAAAAUGCACAGGUUGUGAACUCGAAGAGUAGGGCGGGACACGUGGUAUCCUGUCUGAAUAUGGGGGGACCAUCCUCCAAGGCUAAAUACUCCUGACUGACCGAUAGUGAACCAGUACCGUGAGGGAAAGGCGAAAAGAACCCCGGCGAGGGGAGUGAAAAAGAACCUGAAACCGUGUACGUACAAGCAGUGGGAGCACCUUCGGGUGUGACUGCGUACCUUUUGUAUAAUGGGUCAGCGACUUAUAUUCUGUAGCAAGGUUAACCGUAUAGGGGAGCCGCAGGGAAACCGAGUCUUAACUGGGCGUUAAGUUGCAGGGUAUAGACCCGAAACCCGGUGAUCUAGCCAUGGGCAGGUUGAAGGUUGGGUAACACUAACUGGAGGACCGAACCGACUAAUGUUGAAAAAUUAGCGGAUGACUUGUGGCUGGGGGUGAAAGGCCAAUCAAACCGGGAGAUAGCUGGUUCUCCCCGAAAGCUAUUUAGGUAGCGCCUCGUGAACUCAUCUUCGGGGGUAGAGCACUGUUUCGGCUAGGGGGUCAUCCCGACUUACCAACCCGAUGCAAACUACGAAUACCGAAGAAUGUUAUCACGGGAGACACACGGCGGGUGCUAACGUCCGUCGUGAAGAGGGAAACAACCCAGACCGCCAGCUAAGGUCCCAAAGUCAUGGUUAAGUGGGAAACGAUGUGGGAAGGCACAGACAGCCAGGAUGUUGGCUUAGAAGCAGCCAUCAUUUAAAGAAAGCGUAAUAGCUCACUGGUCGAGUCGGCCUGCGCGGAAGAUGUAACGGGGCUAAACCAUGCACCGAAGCUGCGGCAGCGACACUAUGUGUUGUUGGGUAGGGGAGCGUUCUGUAAGCCUGCGAAGGUGGCCUGUGAGGGUUGCUGGAGGUAUCAGAAGUGCGAAUGCUGACAUAAGUAACGAUAAAGCGGGUGAAAAGCCCGCUCGCCGGAAGACCAAGGGUUCCUGUCCAACGUUAAUCGGGGCAGGGUGAGUCGACCCCUAAGGCGAGGCCGAAAGGCGUAGUCGAUGGGAAACAGGUUAAUAUUCCUGUACUUGGUGUUACUGCGAAGGGGGGACGGAGAAGGCUAUGUUAGCCGGGCGACGGUUGUCCCGGUUUAAGCAUGUAGGCUGGUUGUCCAGGCAAAUCCGGAUAAUCAAGGCUGAGGUGUGAUGACGAGGCACUACGGUGCUGAAGUAACAAAUGCCCUGCUUCCAGGAAAAGCCUCUAAGCAUCAGGUAACAUUAAAUCGUACCCCAAACCGACACAGGUGGUCAGGUAGAGAAUACCAAGGCGCUUGAGAGAACUCGGGUGAAGGAACUAGGCAAAAUGGUGCCGUAACUUCGGGAGAAGGCACGCUGGUGUGUAGGUGAAGUCCCUGCGGAUGGAGCUGAGACCAGUCGAAGAUACCAGCUGGCUGCAACUGUUUAUUAAAAACACAGCACUGUGCAAACACGAAAGUGGACGUAUACGGUGUGACGCCUGCCCGGUGCCGGAAGGUUAAUUGAUGGGGUUAUCCGUAAGGAGAAGCUCUUGAUCGAAGCCCCGGUAAACGGCGGCCGUAACUAUAACGGUCCUAAGGUAGCGAAAUUCCUUGUCGGGUAAGUUCCGACCUGCACGAAUGGCGUAAUGAUGGCCAGGCUGUCUCCACCCGAGACUCAGUGAAAUUGAACUCGCUGUGAAGAUGCAGUGUACCCGCGGCAAGACGGAAAGACCCCGUGAACCUUUACUAUAGCUUGACACUGAACAUUGAGCCUUGAUGUGUAGGAUAGGUGGGAGGCUUUGAAGCGUGGACGCCAGUCUGCGUGGAGCCAACCUUGAAAUACCACCCUUUAAUGUUUGAUGUUCUAACGUUGGCCCCUUACCGGGGUUGCGGACAGUGUCUGGUGGGUAGUUUGACUGGGGCGGUCUCCUCCCAAAGCGUAACGGAGGAGCACGAAGGUUAGCUAAUCCUGGUCGGACAUCAGGAGGUUAGUGCAAUGGCAUAAGCUAGCUUGACUGCGAGCGUGACGGCGCGAGCAGGUGCGAAAGCAGGUCAUAGUGAUCCGGUGGUUCUGAAUGGAAGGGCCAUCGCUCAACGGAUAAAAGGUACUCCGGGGAUAACAGGCUGAUACCGCCCAAGAGUUCAUAUCGACGGCGGUGUUUGGCACCUCGAUGUCGGCUCAUCACAUCCUGGGGCUGAAGUAGGUCCCAAGGGUAUGGCUGUUCGCCAUUUAAAGUGGUACGCGAGCUGGGUUUAGAACGUCGUGAGACAGUUCGGUCCCUAUCUGCCGUGGGCGCUGGAGAAUUGAGGGGGGCUGCUCCUAGUACGAGAGGACCGGAGUGGACGCAUCACUGGUGUUCGGGUUGUCAUGCCAAUGGCACUGCCCGGUAGCUAAAUGCGGAAGAGAUAAGUGCUGAAAGCAUCUAAGCACGAAACUUGCCCCGAGAUGAGUUCUCCCUGAGACU